rnacentral:lncRNA from 1 species
UACUGGAUUGAUACCUUGGUUCUCAAACUGAGGGAAAUACUUACUGCUCCUGUGCUGCAUCACCCUUUCCUCUUCAAGGGAAAAACCAACGCAAGCUCAAGAGGCAGCACACGCCUCGACUCAUUCUCGCGGGAAUCUACCCGCAACACACCUUUCAUGUUCCAAGUAGCACACUCAAGUAACUGUGUGGUUCUAACAUCAGAGGGAUUUGAGGUAUCACACUCGAUGGAUUCCAAAUGAUGUAACCGUCAAGGUGACCAGCGAGGAAUCACCCUCAAUGGACCAUGCUUGAUGGGUUGUACGACAGAGUCGUUAUCGGAGGUGGUGAAGGAGCAAUCACCUUCUGAGAACCACCACCGGUCAACUACACUACAGAUCUAACAUUAGGACUACGUAUCGAGGUGUCACCCUCGGUACUCAAUAGUAGCUCUGCAACGUCGUACAACUAAGGGGGUGUGAGUGAUGUGACGGGUCUUGGCUCAUCGAUAAGAUGAUCUAGACUUGAUGAGAAAGUAGGGGCAACUGGACUUAUGGUCAAAGGGGAUAACUGCUCCACCUGUACUAAGUAGUUUAAAGUGCGGUAGAGUAAAGUAGAAGUUCAGAAAAAAAACAGGCUACGCAUCAGAAUAGGAGCUAUCCACAACAGUAGCAAAAUCUAAUGCAAGCACGAGGGAGAAAGAAUAGGCGAUAUAGGAAUGAUCAAGGGGGGUUUGCUUGCCUUGUUGCUCUAUGACAAAGGGCUGGUCGUCACGAGGGUAGUCGUACCCGGCAGCAGCGUCAGUCUCGGGGUCUACCGGAGAGAAGAGGGGUCUACCAGAGAGAAGAGGGAGAAGAAACAAUAAAUAUAAAAGCACAAAUGCAACACGAUGCAUGGCAUGGUAAAAUGCACAGCUAGGUAUGCACUAAUGCAGUAUCACCCGUCAUGGACGGAUCAUGAAAAUAUCUAACAAUAUUUUCCGGGUCUAUGGCUACUACCGGACAGACGAAAAUGAUGAAAAAGUUUCAUGUCCUCUGUGAUAAAGACGCGUGACACAUGAACGGAUAGCUUAUCCGGAUUUGUAUUGUUUUUCUCAUCAACUUUCAUGUACAAAAUAUUUUCAUCCGGAUUACGAAUUAUUUUAUAUUAUUUUUUAUAGUUUUAUUAAUUAUUUAAGAAUUAAUUAGAAUUAAUUAAAUUCAUUAAACAUCUAUGACAUUGGCAGUCAACAGUCUUGUUGACUCAUCAAACUAACCAGUGGGUCCCAUGUGUGAUACUCACAUUUUAAUUUAGUUUAUUUAAUAAUUAAUCAGGUUAAUUUAGGGAAGACCCACCUCUCA